UGAGAAAGCCCAGGAGAGC
rnacentral:misc_RNA from 1 species